UACGGAGGGUGCAAGCGUUAAUCGGAAUUACUGGGCGUAAAGCGUGCGCAGGCGGCUUUGCAAGACAGAUGUGAAAUCCCCGGGCUCAACCUGGGAACUGCAUUUGUGACUGCAUGGCUAGAGUACGGUAGAGGUGGAUGGAAUUCCGCGUGUAGCAGUGAAAUGCGUAGAUAUGCGGAGGAACACCGAUGGCGAAGGCAAUCCCCUGGACCUGUACUGACGCUCAUGCACGAAAGCGUGGGGAGCAAACAGG
rnacentral:rRNA from 1 species